GACGAACGCUGGCGGCGUGCUUAACACAUGCAAGUCGAACGGAAAGGCCCUGCUUUUGUGGGGUGCUCGAGUGGCGAACGGGUGAGUAACACGUGAGUAACCUGCCCUUGACUUUGGGAUAACUUCAGGAAACUGGGGCUAAUACCGGAUAGGAGCUCCUGCUGCAUGGUGGGGGUUGGAUAGUUUCGGCGGUUGGGGAUGGACUCGCGGCUUAUCAGCUUGUUGGUGGGGUAGUGGCUUACCAAGGCUUUGACGGGUAGCCGGCCUGAGAGGGUGACCGGCCACAUUGGGACUGAGAUACGGCCCAGACUCCUACGGGAGGCAGCAGUGGGGAAUAUUGCCCAAUGGGCGGAAGCCUGAUGCGGCAACGCCGCGGUCGGGAUGACGGCCUUCGGGUUGUAAACCGCUUUCGCCUGUGACGAAGCGUGAGUGACGGUAAUGGGUAAAGAAGCACCGGCUAACUACGUG
rnacentral:rRNA from 1 species